rnacentral:lncRNA from 1 species
AGCACUGGGACUAUCUGAAGUCUCUGGAAGAAGCUGCAGGAAAUCCAGUUCUAUCAGAUUUCGCUUCAAAAAUUUUGGACCUUUGUUACUAGGUACAUAAACAUCUGAGGUGUUUAUUGGAGCUCUUUGCCUAGAACUGAUAAUUGGAUUCAUGGUAUUCUGGAGAACAAGAUCUGGCAAUGAAGAAUGGACUUGGAAGUGGUAGACAAUACAAUUGAUAACUGGAAGAACAGAUAACAGAACAGCAUACAGGAAACAGGCUGAGGAAGAAUAAGAGACUUGCUUGAGGAAGAAAACUGAAGCCCAGAAAGCUUAAUAUAUUACCCAAAGAGUUAGUCCACAUUGAACUGGGAGUUAAUCCUUGUCUGUCUGGCUGGAAAGCUUUUGCUCUGUAUCUUGGAUGAAUAAACUAAACCUUAGGGAAUCUUCCUAGAAGAAACCAUAUAACGCCUCCUGUACGAGAAGUUAAAUUACAACACAAAGAUUGCUUGGUGAGCAUGUGAUCAAAACAGGGCAAGAUGAAGACCUUUAGAGGCCACAAGCAUUUUAGUGUGCCUCCCAACUUCCCUUAUAUUAUUCAAAAUAUAAACAAUAAAAUCUACAAAGAUGUGAAAGAAGUCCAA